UCGGUGUGAGAGCACGCUUUAUCAAUGUUAUGACUAUUUGUUUAUGUUAUAUUAUAAUUAUUAUAUUGAAGAGAUUUUUAUGUCAAUAAUUUAUUCAAAAGGAGAGAUACUUAUUGAUUUCGUCUAGACUCAUUCCAAAUGAUUUCGUCAAAUUUGUUAUUUGCGUUUUUCUGUGGUUUACUAUUGAUCCUAGUAAAAUGGUGUUACAAACAUUACAGAAAUAUGAAACACAUGUUGAAGUUUCCAUAUCCCGAAGAUACUACUCUUAUUUUUGGAAACAUGAAUGUCCUUACUACACCCGUAGAUGUUACUCAUCAAACACUAAGAAAUUUUGCAAAAGGAUUAUAUCCGCAUUAUAGACUACGCGUAUUUAAUUAUAUGGCUAUUAAUAUUUUGUCACCUGAGGACUGUGAGAUUUUCAUGAGUACUAAAAAACAUUCGAGUAAAAGUGAACUUUAUGAUAUUUUGAAGAACUGGUUGAAAGAGGGGUUAUUGAUUUCAAAUGGGGAAAAGUGGACAAAAAGAAGAAAAAUCUUGACGAAUGCAUUUCAUUUCAACAUUUUGAAGGAUUUUGUUCAUCUUUUCAAUGAAAAAACUGAAGAAACGGUGAAUAUAAUAUCCACGAAAUGUUCAGAACCAAUUGAAGUCAGCUCAAUAGUUACAGAAUUCACUCUUAAAAGCAUAUGUGAAACUGCUAUGGGUUAUAAAUUAAAUACUCAAGAAGAACACUCGAAAGAUUACAUAAAAGCCUUACACGAAAUUGAGUUAUUAUUUAAUUACCGAAUGAUGAGACCGUGGCUUCACAUACCGCUUAUUUAUUGGUUCAACUCCACAUCUAGAAGAGAAGCCCAACUUCUGAAGAUUCUCCAUGGAUUCACCAAGGCAAUAAUCAAAGAACGGAUGGAUUCGUUCGAAUGUGAUGUACUUUCUUUGCAAUCAGAUGAAAAAUCAGAAGGAAAACUUCAAAAUAAAACGAGGCGACGACGACUAGUACUUCUUGAUGUUUUGCUGCAAACGAGAGCAAUUGAUGGAUCGAUAGAUUAUGAAGGGAUUUGCGAAGAAGUAGACACUUUCAUGUUCGAAGGUCAUGAUACAACAGCGGCUGCUAUAGGUUUCUGCCUGAUGUUGAUAGCAAAUCAUCCUGAAGUUCAGGACAACAUUAUGGAUGAAAUGAUGAAAGUUAUGGAUGGAAGAACGUCUAGUCCAACUUAUGAUGAUCUACAAAAGCUGGAAUAUAUGGAAAGGUGUAUUAAGGAAACUCUGAGGCUUUAUCCAAGUGUGUAUUUCAUUUCGAGAGUUGCGGAUAAAGAUACUGUAUUGAAUUCGGGAAUGUUGGUGCCAAAAGGAACACACGUCCAAAUACAUAUUUACGACGUCAUGAGGAAUCCAGAGAUUUUUCCUUCACCUGAUACAUUCGAUCCUGAUAGAUUCUUGCCAGAAAACUGUCAACAUAGACAUCCUUUCGCUUAUAUUCCGUUUAGUGCUGGUCCAAGAAAUUGUAUUGUGUGCAGUUUCUGCUCAGGAUACAAAAGCAGAUGACUCUAAACGGGAGUCACUUCCUGACUUUUCUGAGAUUAUUGAAUCACAGGGUGCAAGAACAUCUUCUAUAAUUGAAAAUAAUAUGGCUAAAGACAUGAAAGUUAUUGACUCGUUGGUAAAGGUGCGGAAUCCAAGACUUGGGGUACCACCUCAGUUAGCUCAGGGACCGAUUCCUGCAGCAAAGAAGACCGAUAACUGAUCUGUAAAAAAUGGAAAACUAUGAUUUAUUUUAUUUUUCGUGAAUGAAUGACAAAAAUAUAUAAUCAAGUCAAAUGUCA